GAUGAAGAACGCAGCGAAAUGCGAUACUUGGUGUGAAUUGCAGAAUCCCGUGAACCAUCGAGUCUUUGAACGCAAGUUGCGCCCGAAGCCAUUAGGCCGAGGGCACGCCUGCCUGGGCGUCACACGUCGUUGCCCCCCCAUCUACUCCUUCGGGAUUGCGGGGGGCGGAUGAUGGCCUCUCGUGCGCCUCGUCGCGCGGUUGGCCUAAAUGCCAAGUCCUCGGCGACGCACGCCACGACAAUCGGUGGUUGCGAAACCUCGGUUGCCUGUCGUGUGCGGUCGUCGCGCAUCGAGGGCUCGAAAAAAUUGCCGGGCUUCGGCUCGACUUUCAACGCGACCCCAGGUCAGGCGGGGUUAUCCGCUGAAUUUAAGCAUAUCAAUAAGCGGAGGA
rnacentral:misc_RNA from 1 species